AUCUAGAUCCUCAACCAGGUCGGGCCAUAACUCAAUCACCAGACCCGACUCGAUGAGGUUUCGCACUUCUCCAAAUGUUAGUUAGGGCACCCAGCGGCAGCACACAAGGCUACACAGUCACGCACCCUCUUCUCUAGCACGUAAUGAGGCACAACCCUGACCUGAACCCCCUCUUCUCUCAGCACGCAGCCACACACCCUCAGCCCCCACCUCACGCACGACGCCACCGUUUCCCUCUCAGCCCUCUCUCUCUCUCCCUGUCUCUCACCAUCCACCAUCACUACUCACCAGCCUCAAUGGCGAUGACACCAGUGGCUGCAAAGUGCGACGGCGCUUCUCUGCUCCCUGCCACCAUCACUCCAUCAGUCAGCCGCCACCUCUGCUCUACUGCCUGCAGUCGUCUUCUUCUUCUUUGCCCCUGGUCGUCUUCUUCUCUUCUCUGACCUCUGUUCUCAAGCUCAGUUUGAUGAUAGUAUAAGUGACAACAUUAGUGAGACUGAAGGUGGAAUUGGUGGACAUGUUCUUUGUGCAAUUGAUAUGUCAAGUCUAAGGUGUUUGUAUUUUUCAUUUUUUUUAAUUUCAAUGUGUAAAGAGCAACUAAGAUGUGUAAUGUAUAAUGAUUUUAUAGAAGCAUGAUUAUAUUUGGACAGCCAUAUUGAAAUAUCUCUAAAGAAAUGAGUGAAUACUUAUUUUUACAUAA